rnacentral:rRNA from 1 species
UACAGAGGUCUCAAGCGUUUGUUCGGAUUCAUUGGGCGUAAAGGGUGUGUAGGUGGCGCCGUAAGUCGGGUGUGAAAUUUCGGAGCUUAACUCCGAAACUGCAUUCGAUACUGCGGUGCUUGAGGACUGGAGAGGAGACUGGAAUUCAUGGUGUAGCAGUGAAAUGCGUAGAGAUCAGGAGGAACACCGGUGGCGAAGGCGGGGUCUCUGGGCCGAUACUGACGCUGAGGAGCGAAAAGCGUGGGGGAGCGAACAGG